rnacentral:lncRNA from 1 species
AAUGACUUGGUUGCUAGUGUGACUUGACCGUCCCAGCUCCUUCCGGGUUGAACGGUUGAGUGGAACCCGUCCUCGGUCGGCAAGGAUCAUGGUGGUUGAUAUCAUGGUAGGUUUCACCAUGAUAUUAUGUAUCGAUGAUAGAACUAUCGUUAUUUUCCACUGCUGUUGAACUCUGAACCACUCCUUUAUGCAUUUGAACUAUCAGCUUGUAAUAACUUAAAUUGGG